ACGCAUUAAGUGCCCCGCCUGGGGAGUACGAUCGCAAGAUUAAAACUCAAAGGAAUUGACGGGGCCCCGCACAAGCAGCGGAGCAUGCGGUUUAAUUCGAUGCAACGCGAAAAACCUUACCCACCUUUGACAUGUACGGAAUCCUUUAGAGAUAGAGGAGUGCUCGAAAGAGAGCCGUAACACAGGUGCUGCAUGGCUGUCGUCAGCUCGUGUCGUGAGAUGUUGGGUUAAGUCCCGCAACGAGCGCAACCCUUGUCAUUAGUUGCUACAUUUAGUUGAGCACUCUAAUGAGACUGCCGGUGACAAGCCGGAGGAAGGUGGGGAUGACGUCAAGUCCUCAUGGCCCUUAUAGGUGGGGCUACACACGUCAUACAAUGGCUGGUACAAAGGGUUGCCAACCCGCGAGGGGGAGCUAAUCCCACAAAGCCAGUCGUAGUCCGGAUCGUAGUCUGCAACUCGACUACGUGAAGUCGGAAUCGCUAGUAAUCGUGGAUCAGAAUGUCAC
rnacentral:rRNA from 1 species